GGGGAAUAUUGGACAAUGGGGGCAACCCUGAUCCAGCAAUGCCGCGUGUGUGAAGAAGGUCUUCGGAUUGUAAAGCACUUUCGACGGGGACGAUGAUGACGGUACCCGUAGAAGAAGCCCCGGCUAACUUCGUGCCAGCAGCCGCGGUAAUACGAAGGGGGCUAGCGUUGCUCGGAAUGACUGGGCGUAAAGGGCGUGUAGGCGGUUUACACAGUCAGAUGUGAAAUCCCCGGGCUUAACCUGGGAGCUGCAUUUGAUAC
rnacentral:rRNA from 1 species